rnacentral:rRNA from 1 species
GACGAAGGGGGCUAGUGUUAUUCGGAAUGACUGGGCGUAAAGGGCAUGUAGGCGGACUAAUAAGUUGCUUGUAAAAUUUCAUGGCCUAACUGUGAAAAUACUUUCAAAACUAAUAGUCUAGAGUAAAAACAAGGAUAGUGGAAUUUCUAGUGUAGAGGUAAAAUUCUUAAAUAUUAGUAGGACGUCCAGGAGCGAAGGCGACUAUCUAUAUUAUUACUGACGCUGAGGUGCGAAAGCUUGGGUAGCAAACAGG